ACAGGCUUAACACAUGCAAGUCGAGGGGCAGCAUGGUCUUAGCUUGCUAAGGCCGAUGGCGACCGGCGCACGGGUGAGUAACACGUAUCCAACCUGCCGUCUACUCUUGGACAGCCUUCUGAAAGGAAGAUUAAUACAAGAUGGCAUCAUGAGUCCGCAUGUUCACAUGAUUAAAGGUAUUCCGGUAGACGAUGGGGAUGCGUUCCAUUAGAUAGUAGGCGGGGUAACGGCCCACCUAGUCUUCGAUGGAUAGGGGUUCUGAGAGGAAGGUCCCCCACAUUGGAACUGAGACACGGUCCAAACUCCUACGGGAGGCAGCAGUGAGGAAUAUUGGUCAAUGGGCGAGAGCCUGAACCAGCCAAGUAGCGUGAAGGAUGACUGCCCUAUGGGUUGUAAACUUCUUUUAUAAAGGAAUAAAGUCGGGUAUGGAUACCCGUUUGCAUGUACUUUAUGAAUAAGGAUCGGCUAACUCCGUGCCAGCAGCCGCGGUAAUACGGAGGAUCCGAGCGUUAUCCGGAUUUAUUGGGUUUAAAGGGAGCGUAGAUGGAUGUUUAAGUCAGUUGUGAAAGUUUGCGGCUCAACCGUAAAAUUGCAGUUGAUACUGGAUAUCUUGAGUGCAGUUGAGGCAGGCGGAAUUCGUGGUGUAGCGGUGAAAUGCUUAGAUAUCACGAAGAACUCCGAUUGCGAAGGCAGCCUGCUAAGCUGCAACUGACAUUGAGGCUCGAAAGUGUGGGUAUCAAACAGGAUUAGAUACCCUGGUAGUCCACACGGUAAACGAUGAAUACUCGCUGUUUGCGAUAUACUGCAAGCGGCCAAGCGAAAGCGUUAAGUAUUCCACCUGGGGAGUACGCCGGCAACGGUGAAACUCAAAGGAAUUGACGGGGGCCCGCACAAGCGGAGGAACAUGUGGUCUAAUUCGAUGAUACGCGAGGAACCUUACCCGGGCUUAAAUUGCAGAUGAAUUACGGUGAAAGCCGUAAGCCGCAAGGCAUCUGUGAAGGUGCUGCAUGGUUGUCGUCAGCUCGUGCCGUGAGGUGUCGGCUUAAGUGCCAUAACGAGCGCAACCCUUGUUGUCAGUUACUAACAGGUUCCGCUGAGGACUCUGACAAGACUGCCAUCGUAAGAUGUGAGGAAGGUGGGGAUGACGUCAAAUCAGCACGGCCCUUACGUCCGGGGCUACACACGUGUUACAAUGGGGGGUACAGAGGGCCGCUACCACGCGAGUGGAUGCCAAUCCCCAAAACCUCUCUCAGUUCGGACUGGAGUCUGCAACCCGACUCCACGAAGCUGGAUUCGCUAGUAAUCGCGCAUCAGCCACGGCGCGGUGAAUACGUUCCCGGGCCUUGUACACACCGCCCGUCAAGCCAUGGGAGCCGGGGGUACCUGAAGUGCGUAACCGCGAGGAGCGCCCUAGGGUAAAACUGGUGACUGGGGCUAAGUCAUA
rnacentral:rRNA from 1 species